CUUCACCCUCCUCUGACUCUCAACGACAGCAGAGAGUGACAAGCAAACAUGCUGCUACUGGCAGCACUUGUGGCCACAGCUGCUUGGUCUUAUGGAUUUGCACAAGAAAUUCCCGUGCAGAGCCCUAUAUCCAUCACAAAGUUCAGAAGAAGUGCACGGAUGACAUGUGAAAUUCAAACAUCAGCAGCAAGUUUUGAUGGCAUUGUCAUACACUGGUACCAACAGAAGGAGGGUAAAUCUCCUGAGAGGCUCCUGUUCUAUUCAGGAGGGAAACCUUCAUUUGAAAGUGGCUUUCAAGCAGACAGGUACAUGAUUGAAACAGUUUCUAGCCAGAAUCGAUGUGUUUUUACAAUAAAAGAUGUAAUACCAGAUGAUGCUGCUACUUACUACUGUGCCUACUGGGACCCUCACUGUGAUAGAAAUUCAAAGAUCAUCAAGGCAAAAAACUCGUCUCCCUCAACAUCUGAACCACGGGGCUGCAAACAGGAAUUUUUGGAAGGAAGAAGAUUUGCUGAAACUGUCAAGUUUGAUGGAUUUAUUUCAAAUUUGCCAUGA